UGAGUAACACGUGGGCAAUCUGCCCUGCACUUCGGGAUAAGCCUGGGAAACUGGGUCUAAUACCGGAUAGGACCUUUAGACGCAUGUCUUUUGGUGGAAAGCUUUUGCGGUGUGGGAUGGGCCCGCGGCCUAUCAGCUUGUUGGUGGGGUGAUGGCCUACCAAGGCGACGACGGGUAGCCGGCCUGAGAGGGUGUCCGGCCACACUGGGACUGAGAUACGGCCCAGACUCCUACGGGAGGCAGCAGUGGGGAAUAUUGCACAAUGGGCGCAAGCCUGAUGCAGCGACGCCGCGUGGGGGAUGACGGCCUUCGGGUUGUAAACCUCUUUCACCAUCGACGAAGGUCCGGGUUUUCUCGGAUUGACGGUAGGUGGAGAAGAAGCACCGGCCAACUACGUGCCAGCAGCCGCGGUAAUACGUAGGGUGCGAGCGUUGUCCGGAAUUACUGGGCGUAAAGAGCUCGUAGGUGGUUUGUCGCGUUGUUCGUGAAAUCUCACGGCUUAACUGUGAGCGUGCGGGCGAUACGGGCAGACUAGAGUACUGCAGGGGAGACUGGAAUUCCUGGUGUAGCGGUGGAAUGCGCAGAUAUCAGGAGGAACACCGGUGGCGAAGGCGGGUCUCUGGGCAGUAACUGACGCUGAGGAGCGAAAGCGUGGGGAGCGAACAGGAUUAGAUACCCUGGUAGUCCACGCCGUAAACGGUGGGUACUAGGUGUGGGUUUCCUUCCUUGGGAUCCGUGCCGUAGCUAACGCAUUAAGUACCCCGCCUGGGGAGUACGGCCGCAAGGCUAAAACUCAAAGGAAUUGACGGGGGCCCGCACAA
rnacentral:rRNA from 1 species